UACGUAGGUGGCAAGCGUUGUCCGGAUUUAUUGGGCGUAAAGCGCGCGCAGGCGGUCCUUUAAGUCUGAUGUGAAAUCUUGCGGCUCAACCGCAAGCGGUCAUUGGAAACUGGGGGACUUGAGUACAGAAGAGGGAAAGCGGAAUUCCACGUGUAGCGGUGAAAUGCGUAGAGAUGUGGAGGAACACCAGUGGCGAAGGCGGCUUCUGGUCUGUAACUGACGCUGAGGCGCGAAAGCGUGGGGAGCAAACAGG
rnacentral:rRNA from 1 species